rnacentral:rRNA from 1 species
GAUGAACGCUGGCGGCGUGCCUAAUACAUGCAAGUAGAACGCUGAAGGAGGAGCUUGCUCUUCUGGAUGAGUUGCGAACGGGUGAGUAACGCGUAGGUAACCUGCCUGGUAGCGGGGGAUAACUAUUUGAAACGUUAGCUAAUACCGCAUGACAACAGUUAUUUCAUGAUAACUGUUUAAUAGGGUCACCUGCUCCUCUACCAGAUGGACCUGCGUUGUAUUAGCUAGUUGUUGGGGUAACGGCUCACCAAGGCGACGAUACAUAGCCGACCUGAGAGGGUGAUGGGCCACACUGGGACUGAGACAAGGACCAGACACAUACGGGAGGAAGCAGGAGGGAGACUUCGGCAAGGGGCAGAAGUGGGAAAGAGCAAAGCAGGGUGAGAGAAGAAGGUUAUCAGAGCGGAAAGAGCGGUGGUAAGAGAAGAACGGGAGUGAGAGUGGAAAGGUCACGAUGAGAAGGUAACUGAGCAGAAAGGGACGGCUAAAUACGUG